rnacentral:lncRNA from 1 species
CUUAUUUUUGGACGUGAUCCUGUUGAACUCGAUAAGAACAACAAAGAUCUGAUCACUUAUAUGGAUGCCAUACAGAGGUCUGACUCUGAUUAGUGGCUUAGAGCCAUAAAGUCCGAAAUUAAGUCCAUAAUGAUCAAUGAUGUAUGGACACUCAUUUAUCUACUCGAAAGGAUAAUGUCCAUAGGGUCUAAGUGGGUCUUCAAUA